AACGAGGAGUAAUUAAUUUUGUCUAUUAAAAACUAGCUAUUCAAGGUGAUGUAAAAAAACUUGCCUGACUCAGCAAAAAUUUGUGGGAAUAUCACGUGACAAGUCUAGACAUUGGAGAUGCUGCUCUGUUCCCAUACUUGCUUGUACAGUGCAUAAUUGUAUGUUCAGCUGCACAGUUCAUAAUAUCAACUGUACAGGAUACAUUCUAUUCGCGAUAUGGGUGUUAUACGAUGAAGCUGUUUUCUUUCUUUACUGCCACAAGUGUAUAUGAUUGCACCCAGUAGCUCGUCGCCGCAAGUAAAGCAGAGAAAGUUUACGAUUUUUCUGUGGGGAUAAACCAGCUCAAUAAUUCGAAAGAGGUGUAUAAAUGUGGUUGCAAAGAUCGCAAAGAUCACAUGAUGCAAGACCUCUCCAAGGGCCUACCCUUAUCGCGCGGAGAGGAUAUUUUUGAAGGGAUACGUCCAAUAUCGGCAGGUGAUGGGUACAUAUAGAGCUAAUAUGUCUCAAGGUGAUUGUAGAUCAGGUCACCAAGAGCUUUGAACCUGGACACGCAUUCAUCACGAUCAAAAGUAGACUCAGAAACUCAGAACACACACAUUGCUUCGUCAAUAAUAAUGCAUAUUCAAAACAUACGGUGUGAACGGUACUUGGCCUGUUGUUCUGUUGUUCUGCAGCAUUUUCUUUACCAGCUUGCCUUUAGAUAGAUACCAAGUACACUCACGUUUCACUUCUUUUCACAGUAUUUACA